CAAAAAAUAGUUUAUUUAAAAUUAUAAUAUUGGGAAUUAUAGAAAUAAAAUAUUUUAUUUUUUUGA
rnacentral:tRNA from 2 species